GUCCGAUACGGGUCUGUGUGGGGAUCCCGCCCGUUAAGCCACAUACCCGCGGCGCUCGCGAAUCCUCGCGAACCCGCUCGUUCCCUGCGCUGCCACCGGCCCUUCAUCUGCGCGUCGCAUGCCUACCGCACCACCCGCCGUCCGCUUGCCGCACUGCCCACUGACCUCGUCCACCGGCGCCGACUCCCUUCCCCCUUUGCCACGGCCGCCACAUCGUCCCCCACCUCGCUUGGCUUCCAAUUCGGCGGGUGUGCCGCCGGGAUACCGCGGCCAGCCACCUGCCUGCUCCCUCUCUUCUCCCCUCCCCCUCCUCUCCCCUGCCACCUCCUCUACUUCAACGUGGGUAGCGCUUGAGCCAUGUCCAAUGCAGCAAUCCAUGUGUUGGAGCUGCCAGUCUCAUGAACGAAAUCCCCGUGACCCCUGUGCUGCUCCCCCUCCCCGGAGUGCAGAGAGAGAGGUCACUUCGGAGAGCAGCUUCUACGGCUGCAGGUCAAUGCAACGCCGGCGCAAGCAGCAGCUCCAUCUGUGACCUCCAGCGGCUGUGCCAUACCUCCAAGGCUGCAAUGCCCUUUGCCAGCGACCAGCGGGGCCUCCAUUGCCUCCAAGGUGUUCGAUAAAAUGUCCAGCUCCUAACACAGGAAGCUGCAGAGUCCUUUACUCCUAUUCUAUGUUACCAACGUUAUGGCUCAGGUUAGUUUACUGGACUGAAAGCUUACCAAGUCUAUGUAAUGAUAUUUUACGCACAAUUUAUCAUAGCACCUGAUGGUCACAAGCUUGGGGGCAUUAACACUCUAACCUGAUGAUCACAAACUUGGAUGGGCUCACAAAUUUUGUAUUGUCAUCUUAUCACUCAGCUAUUCUGGUAAAAGAUGUCGUUGCCUUGCAGCAUAUAGAGAUCUUGUUAAUCAUGUGAAAUGGUAUGUCUGUACUUUGUGAGCAUUACCUGUUGUUGUCUUUAUGAUCUGAGUAAAAUAAUAUAUACCCAAUUAUGCAGGAAACUAGACUUGGCAAAGAGCAUAACUGUCUCAUACAAAAUUACCGUGCAUAAUUUUUCCGAGAUACCAUGCAUUGUUAUUUACUUUGUGACCUAAGAAUUUAAGAGACAUGCAUAGUAGAUUAAUAAACACUUUUCAGAAAUAAAAGCAAUCAUAAUGCCAGCCAUGUGCUUCUAAAGAUCGCAAAGAUCUUUUUUUUCCCUUCAUCUAUUCUUGAGGGUGCUGUUUGUGCGCCUUUCGAGCGCAUGUUAAAACUCUAUCCUUCUUAUUAGUUAAUCUUGGAAUCAUUCGGGAUUUCUUUUCGAAAAAAAAUACAGACUAAAGCUUUUCUUUAAAGAUAAAUGACCGUGAAGUUGUUAUUAUCACAAAAUAAUUUUCCUUUCUGCACAAGCUCUAAACUAGAGAUCUCUGAUGAUACCUGGGAAAGUUUUAUAUUGCAAACUUAGUCGGUGAUACAGUUAGCUCUCGUUCUCCAAUUUUGAGUAACCACAAGCAUUGGUACAAUACUAUUGGGCAUCAUUUUUGCUACAAACUACUAAUUCUGACCACAGUAGUGUGUAGUCUGCUACAAAUUCCAGAAGUCUUUCUGAAAAAAGUGAAGAGUAAGUUUCAAGAUUCAGAAAUGUCAGCUGCUGAGCUGCAGUAUGUACCCCACAGAUCAGUUCCAAAAUACCAUUUCCAGUUUGGAGGUGAGAGCAUCAUCAUCCAAGUGCGGUUCUUCCUUCGAUGAUGGGUUUUCUCACAUACAAGGAUGCAGCUUUGUGAUGCUAUCUAUCUUUGGUUUCAGAGGGCUGAUUUAUUGGAAAAAUAUAUUGUAUAUGGAUUACUUAGUUUUGCUAUCAUGUUGUUGUGGCAAUUUACAUAAAUUGCUAGUAGCACACACUGAUAACUCAUUGAAUUUCUCCUCAGUUCAACUAUUGUCUUCUAAUAAUGCCAUAAUGCAAAACAAAGUUUAUUAGGUGA